UAACCAGACUCCUACGGGAGGCAGCAGUGGGGAAUAUUGGGCAAUGGGCGCAAGCCUGACCCAGCAAUGCCGCGUGAAGGAAGAAGGCUUUCGGGUUGUAAACUUCUUUGACAGGGGAAGAGCAGAAGACGGUACCCUGAAAACAAGCCACGGCUAACUACGUGCCAGCAGCCGCGGUAAUACGUAGGUGGCAAGCGUUGUCCGGAUUUACUGGGUGUAAAGGGCGUGUAGGCGGGGACGCAAGUCAGAUGUGAAAACCACGGGCUCAACCUGUGGCCUGCAUUUGAAACUGUGUUUCUUGAGUACUGGAGAGGCAGACGGAAUUCCUAGUGUAGCGGUGAAAUGCGUAGAUAUUAGGAGGAACACCAGUGGCGAAGGCGGCUUACUGGACUGUAAAUGACGCUGAGGCUCGAAAGCGUGGGGAGCAAACAGGAUUAGAUACCCGAGUAA
rnacentral:rRNA from 1 species